UACGAGGGGUCCUAGCGUUGUUCGGAAUCAUUGGGCGUAAAGGGUGCGUAGGCUGCCAUUCAAGUCAGUUGUGAAAUCCCCGGGCUCAACCCGGGAAGUGCUUCUGAUACUGUUUGGCUUGAGUACUGGAGAGGGUAGUAGAAUUCCAGGUGUAGUGGUGAAAUACGUAGAUAUCUGGAGGAAUACCGGUGGCGAAGGCGGCUACCUGGCCAUGUACUGACGCUGAAGCACGAAAGCGUGGGGAGCAAACAGG
rnacentral:rRNA from 1 species